rnacentral:tRNA from 1 species
UCCUUCUUAGCUCAGUUGGUAGAGCGCGUCACUAGUAUUUGUGAAAUGUGUUUAAUGUCUAUGACGAGGUCAGUCGUUCGAGUCGGCUAGAAGGAA